rnacentral:rRNA from 1 species
AGAACGAACGCUGGCGGCAGGCUUAACACAUGCAAGUCGAACGCGUGUAGCAAUACACGAGUGGCGCACGGGUGAGUAACGCGUGGAUAUCUGCCUUUUGGUUCGGAAUAACCCCGGGAAACUGGGGCUAAUACCGGAUGGUUCCUACGGGAUAAAGAUUUAUCGCCAAAAGAUGAGUCCGCGUCCGAUUAGCUAGUUGGUGGGGUAAUGGCCUACCAAGGCGACGAUCGGUAGCUGGUCUGAGAGGACGAUCAGCCACACUGGGACUGAGACACGGCCCAGACUCCUACGGGAGGCAGCAGUGGGGAAUAUUGGACAAUGGGGGCAACCCUGAUCCAGCCAUGCCGCGUGAGUGAUGAAGGCCUUCGGGUUGUAAAGCUCUUUUGGCGGGGUACGAUGAUGACGGUACCCGCAGAAUAAGCCCCGGCUAACUUCGUGCCAGUAGCCGC